GACGAACGCUGGCGGCGUGCUUAACACAUGCAAGUCGAACGAAGAGCGAUGGAAGCUUGCUUCUAUCAAUCUUAGUGGCGAACGGGUGAGUAACGCGUAAUCAACCUGCCCUUCAGAGGGGGACAACAGUUGGAAACGACUGCUAAUACCGCAUACGAUCUAAUCUCGGCAUCGAGGAUAGAUGAAAGGUGGCCUCUACAUGUAAGCUAUCACUGAAGGAGGGGAUUGCGUCUGAUUAGCUAGUUGGAGGGGUAACGGCCCACCAAGGCGAUGAUCAGUAGCCGGUCUAAGAGGAUGAACGGCCACAUUGGGACUGAGACACGGCCCAGACUCCUACGGGAGGCAGCAGUGGGGAAUCUUCCGCAAUGGACGAAAGUCUGACGGAGCAACGCCGCGUGAGUGAUGACGGCCUUCGGGUUGUAAAGCUCUGUUAAUCGGGACGAAAGGCCUUCUUGCGAAUAGUGAGAAGGAUUGACGGUACCGGAAUAGAAAGCCACGGCUAACUACGUG
rnacentral:rRNA from 1 species